rnacentral:rRNA from 1 species
GUGUCAGCAGCCGCGGUAAUACAGAGACUGCAAGCGUUGUUCGGAUUCACUGGGCGUAAAGGGUGCGUAGGUGGUGAGGCAAGUCGGAUGUGAAAUCUCGGAGCUCAACUCCGAAAUGGCAUUGGAAACUACCUUGCUCGAGGGUUGGAGGGGGGACUGGAAUACUUGGUGUAGCAGUGAAAUGCGUAGAUAUCAAGUGGAACACCAGUGGCGAAGGCGAGUCCCUGGACAACUCCUGACACUGAGGCACGAAAGCUAGGGGAGCAAACAGGAUUAGAUACCCCUGUAGUCC